GUACUUCCUUUCCAGUCCAGCAAGCAGGACUAUGAGCGAAGAUUUGAAUUGGAAAUCGAACUAUUUCACUGCAAAGAAAACCAUCGACGUCCAUAAAGAUUCAGAAAUUGGAGACAGUGGAGGAACUACUCGACCUUGACGAGUUGAUAAAAACUCAACCAAGCAAGAAAGAUUUACUGACAGCCAGGCUCUCAAAGAUUGGUGGAGCUGUUUAAGCACCAUCGUGGACAGGCUCAUGACAAAUGAAUUAAUGUCCAAUCUGAACAUGAAGGGGAGAGGGGAAAAAAACUGCCUUUGCCGAGACGAAGCUGCUCGAUGUAGUCACAGUUAGUGUCUUGGAUACCCAGAAGGGGACCGAAACAAAGGUCCAUAAUGCCAUAAAAAAUAAACUGAAAUAUGCCUCUGGACAGAAGGGAGGAAUAGGUUGGGCAUCACAGGCUAAAUAAAUAAUUAUAUCGAUUG